CGAGGGUGUCAGAACUGAGAUGUGAAAUGGACCUGAGGGCGUGGGGUUGAAUUUAAGGGGCUGCCUGGAUAAAAACCAGGAGCUUGUGCUUCACUGAGGUUCUUCUGAGUUUGAUAAAGUUCUGCAUCCAGGAAGUCAAGCGUCACGGGCUCUUGAGACUUCAGAUCCUGAAGAAUAACAACAACAUCGUACCAAGGCACCAUAAAUCAUGGCGGACACAACACGCUAUACUUCUCUGCAAAAAUAUUUACUUGCCAUCCACUGAAUCGGCCCUUUGUCGUAGUUAUGUUGGCCUACGGAAAAGGUAAAUACUCGAACCUAAAAGAAGUGAGAUGAUAUAGACUGGGAUAUAGAUUAUCGGAUUCUUCCAACAAACCGGUGUGUAA